rnacentral:rRNA from 1 species
AUUGAACGCUGGCGGCAUGCUUUACACAUGCAAGUCGAACGGUAACAGGCCUUCGGGUGCUGACGAGUGGCGCACGGGUGAGUAAUGCAUCGGAACGUACCCAGAGGUGGGGGAUAACGCAGCGCAAGCUGUGCUAAUACCGCAUGUGAUCUGAGGAUGAAAGCGGGGGACCGAGCAGCAAUGUUUGGCCUCGCGCCUUUGGAGCGGCCGAUGUCGGAUUAGCUAGUUGGUGGGGUAAAGGCCUACCAAGGCGACGAUCCGUAGCUGGUCUGAGAGGACGACCAGCCACACUGGGACUGAGACACGGCCCAGACUCCUACGGGAGGCAGCAGUGGGGAAUUUUGGACAAUGGGCGCAAGCCUGAUCCAGCAAUGCCGCGUGCGGGAAGAAGGCCUUCGGGUUGUAAACCGCUUUUGGCAGGAACGAAACGGUGUCCGCUAAUACCGGGCGCUAAUGACGGUACCUGCAGAAUAAGCACCGGCUAACUACGUG